rnacentral:rRNA from 1 species
AACGCUAGCUACAGGCUUAACACAUGCAAGUCGAGGGGCAGCACAGAGAUAGCUUGCUAUCUUGGGUGGCGACCGGCGCACGGGUGAGUAACGCGUAUCCAACCUGCCCAUUACUCGGGGAUAGCCUUGCGAAAGUAAGAUUAAUACCCGAUGUUGUUUGAUUGCCGCAUGACGGUCAAACCAAAGAUUUAUUGGUAAUGGAUGGGGAUGCGUGACAUUAGGUAGUUGGUGAGGUAACGGCUCACCAAGCCUACGAUGUCUAGGGGUUCUGAGAGGAAGGUCCCCCACACUGGAACUGAGACACGGUCCAGACUCCUACGGGAGGCAGCAGUGAGGAAUAUUGGUCAAUGGACGAGAGUCUGAACCAGCCAAGUAGCGUGCAGGAUGACGGCCCUCUGGGUUGUAAACUGCUUUUAGUUGGGAAUAAAAAGAGGGACGUGUCCCUAAUUGUAUGUACCAUCAGAAAAAGGACCGGCUAAUUCCGUGCCAGCAGCCGCGGUAAUACGGAGGAUGCGAGCGUUAUCCGGAUUUAUUGGGUUUAAAGGGAGCGUAGACGGGAUGUUAAGUCAGCUGUGAAAGUUUGGGGCUCAACCUUAAAAUUGCAGUUGAUACUGGCGUCCUUGAGUGCGGUUGAGGUAUGUGGAAUUCGUGGUGUAGCGGUGAAAUGCUUAGAUAUCACGAAGAACUCCGAUUG